AUCUUGCAAGACUAUCUACUUUGUUAUUUAAUAGCCUUUAGAUUAGAAAUUUCAAGACAUGUAAGGUAUUUCCAUGGGAUAUAUAAAUAAAUCUAACAUUGAAUUAAUUUGAAUAUCCCUAUUAAAUCCAAAGGCUUCAAAUUUCAAAUUUUAUUGUAGACAAUUCACUGUUCAUCAGAAGCACUAGGGGCAUUUAUUGAAAUCAGAACAUAUUUUGAAGUUAUUUUAACAAGACAGAGUGAAUUUUAAGCAAAAUCAUACAACAUCAAUAGGAGCAACAGUAUAUUAUUACUCAUUGUUUGUAUGUAGGCAUGAUCAAAAAUUUUCUGUGGACAGUAAAUUCACUGAAAAAUUCAUAUUGUCAUCAGUUCAAGUUACACUGAGAAGCAUUUUUAGCCCAAUUAUGGCAAAUAUUUUUUUUCAAGGAAGAAUUCCAUUAUAAAAUACCAAAGUACAUAAGAAUUUCAAAAGGAAAUGUUGUUUUAGGUUUCAUAAUUUUGGCAUUUUCUUUGACAAAUUAGCUACUCUUUAAGGGAAAACUAAAAAAAAAAAAAAACUUAAAAAAAAAAAAGAGAGAGCGUAUCACGUACAAUAGAUUGACAAGUAGUGUUAAAACCGAAAAUAUGUUGGGUAUUGUAAAUGCAGGUGAACCCAAUGGGAAGAAAUGAUGAUGUCUGACUCAGCUCAGAAGGCUGAAUGAUUUCUUUAUUAUAACUAUGCUAUAAUACAUUAAUAUACUACAUAAAGGAAGAUACUAAAACGACAGGCAACUUUCUCUAACUGCUAAAUCUAACUAAGAACUCGUGGCCCUGUUUGCCAGAGUCCAGACACAGGUGGAUCUGGCCACCAGACUCAAACAAUCUCACCAGAAUCCAAUCAAGCAAUCACCCCAGGUAAACAAUUCUCCAAGUAAAUUCCACAUGAGAAAAACAAGGAGCAGAGAUAGAAAUUGUUUUCUCUUUCUGUCUCUCUAUGCACGUCUAUGAAAAAUCCUGAGAGAGGGAGAAAUGUCCCUGUGACAGUUGGGGGUUUUUUUGGCUUUUUUUUUUAGCCCUUUUAGAUGGAGGACCAAAAUAUUAUUACUCCAGCUGAAGAGUUUUAUUUUUCAGUUUGGUAAAUAGGCAGAAACAUCAAUUUCCCUGCCUUGUCCUUGGGAGGAAUAAUGAGGAAGGCAAGGAGAAACUGAAGGGGAUGCUGUGGAUCAAAUAAGCAAAGGAGAGGGAGUAAAGGAAGGACUUUAAAGGGUGACAAGCCAGAUGACAAAUGUAAAUGUUUCUGAACUUUUUCUGCUGACAUCAGGAUAUUUCAUAAUCAUUUUCUUUCAGAUCUUUCUGAUAACUCUACUCUUUCAUUAAUUCCUUUUCACUGAGCUACUAGGGAAUUACUUUGUUUAAUGAUUCUCUAAAGAUCCAUGAAGGCUAAAUAUCCUAAUAAUUGUAUUUCACAAACAAUAUUACAUUCACCAAUAUAAGUAAAUGUAAUGUUUUCUGCAGUAGGCCAUGUCCCUAACAAUGGGGUAUGCAACAUGUAAUCCACAGGCAAUUUUGGCAAAAUGAACUUGCCCUUUCCCAGAGCUAAAUAUCACUUACUGGAAAAUCUUCAAAUAGAUGGUUUAUUCUGAGACAAUAUUUAAUAUCCCAAGAAAAAAAGAGAAGAACCAUGAUCACUGACUUCCUCUGGAGUAAAAUUCCCCAUGCUUGGGGUUUUGCAAGCUUAUAUCCUUGUUUGAUUGUAGGUUCAGCCUCAGGAAAGGAAAUUAUUCUCAAAUUGACUUCCUCCCAAUCAAAAACUUCCCUUCUUCAUGAAAAGAAUAUCAUAGAUGCAGACUCUGAACCAAGGUGUCAAGGGUGACUUCUGCUUAAAAGACAGAACCCACUGAGGCAGCAUCAGAAAAAUCUUGCAAAUAACUUAAUCAGCUGUUCUUUUACCUACAUUUCUUAGCACUAAUUAAACAUAUAAUGUAGAAGUCACCUUUAAAUUGCUGGCAUUCCAGAGAUGUUUUAGGACAAAUCAAAUUGUUUGUUUAGUCCAGUUUACAGUGGGUUACUGCAGCAGGCACUGGCUCAAACUCUGAUAAAGUGCACUGCCACACAACAUCCUGAAACAAGCACUGAGAGGUCCCACAAAACCCCUUGUAUUUCAAUUUCUGUGGAUCCCAGUGGUUUAGAGAGAAAUUAGUAUGUGCUCUUCUCUCAGAGUUAGGGCCCUUUAUUAAUUUGCAGAAUGAAAGGUUCUCUAAGCUUUUAAUGUAGGUCAGACCCAACUCUUCACGGUGUAUUCAGCCAAGAUGCAGCUGUUAAGCUUUCCUUUAAAAUAUUCUCAUUUCCCAAAGCAAGACCCUUGGCUCAGCACUGUAAUUAUAAACUGCAAGUUCCAAAAUUAGUGAGUGGUAAAGGUGAAAAAGGAUUGAAGCGAACACCCAUGAUUCAUUAUUUGUUGGGUGAGGUUCAACAUUGGAUGGGAAAACUAACAAGCACUUUGUGCUUUGAGCUGACUCAAGAAAAUACAUGGGAAGGGCAAUUUUCAUUGGAUGCACAGCAAGCAGAGCUCCCACUCCAAAGGCAAAGAUGCUCCUCUUGCAUUAGUGUGCAACUCUGUGGCUUCAGCUGAAGAGGGACCUCUGCCUGAUCUCUGCAGGGAGAGACACUGCAAGUGCAGGCAUCAGGUGUUCAGACAACUCAAGUGUCUGGCAGAGACCAAAGAACAAUUUCACAGAAACAAUAAAACUUCUGUACAUUGGGAACUGAAACAUUGUAGUAUUUUUUCAUUUAAGACAGCAAUUCUUCCACAGUAGAAGAGAAGAAUUCAGGCAAAAUCUAACAACAUUUCCUGGGAAAAGCUGCUGCAUGUGAUGGAGGCUGUUCCUAAUCCAGAAGUGAGAUUUCCUAAUCUGAAGACCUUCCUUCUUCCACAGUAAACAGGCUUUGUUAAAACAACAAGGCAAAUGCAUUAAUUUCAUUUUCUCCUUUCUUGCUGCUUGACUUUUAUCAUGAGCAGGAAUUCCCCUGCACACAGCCCUGAUUCAGCCCUCAAGUUUCCACAUUACUGUAGUAGGGCUUGAGUGCUGUUAGCAUGGAAAUAGCAUCAGACUACCCAUCUUAAAAUAAUAUUUUGCCAGGGUUCAAUAAUUGUAGUCAAACGACGCUUUAUUUGUAUAUCAGAUAGUAAAGUACUAUUUUUUCCUCUUUAUACUUGAGGGGAAUUUUAAAAUCCUGGGUUUAGAACAAGCUAAGCUUAUGUGUUGCUCAGGAGAUCUGAAGUGUGUUUAAUAAAAAACAAACAUUUAAAAUCUUCAAGGUCCAAGUCAUACCUGUAGUGUCAGAGCUGGGGCUCAGCACACAGAGCAGGAGGCAGCCCAUAAAGGAGCCAUUGUGUGGGGAGCAGCAGGACACAGUCCUGCGUUUAUGGAGGAUUGACUCUUCUCUCCAUUUUUUAAAUCAAGCUUUUUCUCAUAGCACCACAGUCAAAUAUCCCAGCCUACCUUUGCCUUUCAAGUGCAUCCUUCACUUGAUUUUCAGCAUAAUUCAUCCUUCUGUAAAGACACUCAGGCUUUGUUUUGUUAAUGAGAUCACCUUCUUUCCACUCACAGCCUGCUGCCUUGAACUGGCCUGCUUUUUCAAUAUACCAGACUGAUUUUAGUGCCAUUUUUAUUCUUAAUUUUCUCUUUCUCAGGCUAAGAACAAUGAUUAAGGCUAUGUUUUUAAAAAGUUUAACUUUUGUGUCUUGCCAAAUUAUAUGUUUCUGGAGACUUCUCGGAACUUAAAAAGAAAUUAAAAAAAAAAAAAA
ensembl:lncRNA